UGUGUAGGCGGUUCUUUAAGUUUGCUGUGAAAUCUCCCGGCUUAACCGGGAGGGUGCGGUGAAUACUGAGGGACUAGAGUACGGGGGAGGAAAGUGGAAUUCCUGGUGUAGCGGUGAAAUGCGUAGAUAUCAGGAGGAACACCGGUGGUGUAGACGGCUUUCUGGACCGUAACUGACGCUGAAACACGAAAGCGUGGGUAGCAAACA
rnacentral:rRNA from 1 species